rnacentral:rRNA from 1 species
GAUGAACACUGGCGGCGUGCCUAAUACAUGCAAGUCGAGCGAACAGACGAGGAGCUUGCUCCUCUGACGUUAGCGGCGGACGGGUGAGUAACACGUGGAUAACCUACCUAUAAGACUGGGAUAACUUCGGGAAACCGGAGCUAAUACCGGAUAACAUGUUGAACCGCAUGGUUCAACAGUGAAAGACGGUUUUGCUGUCACUUAUAGAUGGAUCCGCGUCGCAUUAGCUAGUUGGUAAGGUAACGGCUUACCAAGGCAACGAUGCGUAGCCGACCUGAGAGGGUGAUCGGCCACACUGGAACUGAGACACGGUCCAGACUCCUACGGGAGGCAGCAGUAGGGAAUCUUCCGCAAUGGGCGAAAGCCUGACGGAGCAACGCCGCGUGAGUGAAGAAGGUCUUCGGAUCGUAAAACUCUGUUAUUAGGGAAGAACAAAUGUGUAAGUAACUAUGCACGUCUUGACGGUACCUAAUCAGAAAGCCACGGCUAACUACGUG